UUGACUUAAAUUAAUGUGGAUCCUACGUUUUUAAAAUGGAACCCACAUAAAGUGGUGGAAUAUACAUUAAUUUCACUCAA
rnacentral:pre_miRNA from 1 species